rnacentral:rRNA from 1 species
UACGUAGGGUGCGAGCGUUAAUCGGAAUUACUGGGCGUAAAGCGUGCGCAGGCGGUUCUCCAAGUCCGUUGUGAAAGCCCCGGGCUCAACCUGGGAAUGGCAGUGGAAACUAGGGGACUUGAAUCUGGCAGAGGGGGGUGGAAUUCCCGAAGUAGAGGUGAAAUUCGUAGAUAUCGGGAGGAACACCGGUGGCGAAGGCGACCAUCUGGACGGAUACUGACGCUGAGACGCGAAAGCGUGGGGAGCAAACAGG